rnacentral:lncRNA from 1 species
GUCAGGAUAGGUUCACAGAGGAAUCAAAUCUGUAAGCAUCAAGCCCUCAUUCUGCUUUAUUACGCUAUAUCUGUGUUGUGAGUUUGGUUUGUGGUUUAAGAAGAAAAUUGGUGACAAUGGUUGGUAUUUUUUCUUGCAGACAGUGUUUGCAAAUUUGCUUCUCCAUCGGUUAUGGGCAACAAUGUUGAUCAGCAUUGGAAGAAGCGUUUCAUGGCCCCGGUAGCGCAGUAGGUGUUCAAAUAGCACAAAGCACUGCCAGAAUCAUAUCAUACAAUCAUAGAAUGGCCUGGGUUGAAAAGGACAUCAAAGAUCAUCUAUUUUCACCCCCCCUGCCAUGGGCAGGGUCCCCAAUCACUGGACCAGGCUGCCCAGAGCCACAUCCAGCUCUCAAAGCACUGAAAGCAGCCUGAGAAUUGCUUUGAUGUGCUGAUAUUUGUGCAUGGACAGUAAGUUAAAGACCCUGUACAAGGCACAUUGUAGUUUCUGAUCUUUGCAAUGUCAGCUAAACCUCUUUAACACAAAGGAAACAGCAGAAAGCCCCUAACACUGUUUUUUUUCACAAAAGCAAGGCAGCUUGUAAUUAGGGUUGAAAAGGCCCUUUAAUGGUGUACUAAUUUAUUCCUCUUCCUUGUCCUGACAGGUUUAAUUACUCCUAAAUAUCAGUGAGCAGACUGAUGAUUAGCCCAGAGUCAACCAGCUCCACUGAUAAUGGAACUGGUAGAACUGUUCCUGCCAUCUUGUUUCAUUUUUGUCAGUCCUACUAGUGAAUUAUUCUUCCCCAGGAAACUGGUUCUUUGCCAUUCUCACUUAUUUCUCAAUAUCAUUGCCUGGGGCUGUCAAAGUCAUCAUGGCUUCUUGUCCCUUCUACCUUGCAGCAAUGGCAUCCAGACAAUUGAUGAUUGCUGUUUGAAUGGCUAAAUAUGGUUUGAACUUCGGAGGGUUAUGGUAGAUCUUUUUAAGUAAGUCUCAGGUUUAAAUGUGUCUGCAUUUGCUGGUAGUUUGAAAUAUUUCACUGUCCUCACUUCACCCAAAUGCUUUCAUAUGGAAUGAUUUCAGAUGUUCACUUUUGUGAUGCAGAAUUGUGAAAGGUGAUAGUACUGUGGAAGGAAAAGGAAUAAAACACAGUGUUACAAUAUCUUGUCUGACAUAAUUUAAAGUCAUAUAUCAGAGGGCACUGAGAAUGGAAAUAGUCUCAUUGUAAGAUUUUUUUUCUCUGAAGCUCAUAUUAACUUUGCCUAUUCAGGCUUUCUGAUCUGUAUCUACCUGCAGCUUCCUAAUCCACUCUUCUUCAUCUGUUUGUAGCCUUCCAAUGUGUAGUGCCAACGUUCCCCUUUUUUUUUCCACUUAUGCCAUCCAUAUCUUAUCUUGCUCAAAACCUCUUGAACACUUGAAAAUAAGUGCAAGUAUUUUCUAAAAUUCUUGUGAGUUGUCUGCAAGUUAUUUUUCUCAUAACUGCUGGUGUGAAUGUGGGCCAGUAUAUUUGGCACGAAACAAUAUUUUCUCACUCUCAAGCUCUAUCUGACAAAAAUAUGGAUUAAGGCUGGUUAUGAAUUUAAAGCAUGAUACAGUUGUUCCUGACUGCUGUGUGUACAAGCAGUUCUAUAGUCAAGACACAGCAGCUUGUUGCUGUGUCGAGGAGAACAAUGAUGCUGCCUCAAGGCUUCGUGCUCUAUCAUCUUCCAUACUUCUGCCCCUGAGGUCUCUCUUCAUUCCUUUUCCUGUGACCCAGCGAUCUCCUUAUUCAAAUUGGCAGAAAACACCAUUUUGACUUUGUUUUUUCCUCCCUGGGUUAAAGAUGGAGAAAAAUACGUUUAAAUUUCCAUUCUACUCUUUUAUUUAUUAUUAUUUAUUCUUAUUCUAUUGUUGUUUCAAUUAUUAUUAUCUUCGUUCAUUUAUUUUUCUAUUUAUUAUUUUAUUCCUUUGCUGUAUCUGCCGUCCCACCAACCUAUCUUGUAUUUCUGUUUUUUUCUGACUUUCACAGGACUGACCCAAAGUCCGCUAUAAACAGGGGAAUCCUUUUUGGGGGAUUCAGACAAGCUUUCUUUUGUGCUGUUGAAGCAUAUAAAUAAAGUGUAACUUUUAUAGGAACAGUUGUAGAAUCUUUGCG